UGACCUCAGAUCAGGCAAGGCAACCCGCUGAAUUUAAGCAUAUUAAUAAGCGGAGGAAAAGAAACUAACAAGGAUUCCCCUAGUAAUGGCGAAUGAAGCGGGAACAGCUCAAAUUUAAAAUCUCCGUUGCUUGCAACGGCGAAUUGUAGUUUCGAGAAGCACUUUCUCGGCGGAUCCGAGGUCGUCCAAGUUGCUUGGAACAGCACGUCGUAGAGGGUGACAACCCCGUCUGCGGCGACCUCGGCCGUUCACGAUGUGCUUUCGACGAGUCGGGUUGUUUGGGAAUGCAGCCCAAAAUGGGUGGUAAACUCCAUCUAAAGCUAAAUAUUGGCACGAGACCGAUAGCGAACAAGUACCGUGAGGGAAAGAUGAAAAGCACUUUGAAAAGAGAGUUAAAAAGUACGUGAAACCGUUAAAAGGGAAACGAAUGGGGUUAGCAAUGCGUCGUGCGAGAUUCAGCCGGUGGGUGGNCCAGGCGGGCGGUUGGCGGAUCUGAAUGGACCGCUGCCGUUCGGGUUGGUUUCCCGACCGUCGCACUUCUCGCAGGCGCGCGCCAACGUCGGUUAGGGCUGGGUUUCAAAGGCGGUGGGAAAGGUAGGUUUGGACUCUCGGGCCCGAACUGUUACAGUCCUCCGUUUGUCAUGGCCCGGACCUGACCGAGGAGCUUGCGGUGCAUGCCGUUCGGCUAGGGUCCCGUCUUCCCGGUCGGUCGUCGAAUGCGGUGGACUGCGUGCAGUGCGCCGCGACUGCUGCCGGUCGCGAGGGCGGUGAUUUCGUACUAUGCACCCACGACGUUGGCGGUCAUAUGGCCUCAUCCGACCCGUCUUGAAACACGGACCAAGGAGUCUAACAUGUGUGCGAGUCUUUGAGUGAUCGAAACUCCGAGGCGUAAUGAAAGUGAAGGCGACUUCGGUCGCUGAGGUGAGAGCCUUUUUCCACAAAAAAAAGGCGCAUCAUUGACCGACCUAUUCUACUCUUAGAAAGGUUUGAGUAAGAGCGCAUCUGUUGGGACCCGAAAGAUGGUGAACUAUGCCUGAAUAGGGUGAAGCCAGAGGAAACUCUGGUGGAGGCUCGUAGCGAUUCUGACGUGCAAAUCGAUCGUCAAAUUUGGGUAUAGGGGCGAAAGACUAAUCGAACUGUCUAGUAGCUGGUUCCCUCCGAAGUUUCCCUCAGGAUAGCUGGAACUUACGGCAGUUUUAUCAGGUAAAGCGAAUGAUUAGAGGUCUUAGGGUUAAAACAACCUUAACCUAUUCUCAAACUUUAAAUUGGUAAGAAGUCCGACUGC
rnacentral:ncRNA from 1 species